UACGUAGGGGGCGAGCGUUGUCCGGAUUUAUUGGGCGUAAAGAGCGUGUAGGCGGCUAGGUAGGUCCGUUGUGAAAACUCGAGGCUCAACCUCGAGACGUCGAUGGAAACCAUCUGGCUAGAGUCCGGAAGAGGAGAGUGGAAUUCCUGGUGUAGCGGUGAAAUGCGCAGAUAUCAGGAAGAACACCCGUGGCGAAGGCGGCUCUCUGGUACGUGACUGACGCUGAGACGCGAAAGCGUGGGGAGCGAACAGG
rnacentral:rRNA from 1 species